AAAAAGACGUUGCAGGCGGCGGUGGAUUGAGUGUGUAGGCAUGAAUGAAACUCAUCUGAUCUCUAUAGAGACAAACUUCUCCAACUCGAGGAGAUGUUUGCAUCUGAACUUGAUUCUCGACUGCGUGAUCAUUUGAUAGUGAAGAACAAUUUGUUUAUAGAAGGGGGAAAUCUAGGGAGCUCUUUCCAACAUCCAAUUCUAUGUAUUUUUUACGGGAAUUUUGAGCUUUUGGUUGGAAUCCAUCACGAUUUCAGGAAUGGUUGUUAGUGAUGGAAAUCAUCUGGAAGAUGGAAAGAAGAACCCGCGCAACAUUUCAAGAGGAGGGACUACGAAGUCUUGGGGAACCACCGUGUCUAAUCAAUCGAUCUCCACUAGUGGUAGUGCGGGAUCUCCAUCUAACCGGAGUGAGCAGGCUAUGGCCAUUGCCGAAGAGAUUAUAAGGAGGGUAUAAUGGUCAUUUUAACUCAUCUUUUAACUAUGACUGAUGGUAAGGGGUCUGAGUCUAAUUUGGUGAAAAAGAGGGAAUGUUCUUAUAAUAUUGGCAUUCUCCAAGGGGGUGGCAUUGUAAAUUACCCAAAACUUUAAUAUGCAUUGUAUCUCCCUUCUCAA